GGGCCCGUAGCUCAGCCUGGUAGAGCGGCGGUGGGAACCCGUAGGUCGUGGGUUCGAAUCCCACCGGGCCCG
rnacentral:tRNA from 1 species